rnacentral:rRNA from 1 species
GUGGGGAAUAUUGGACAAUGGGCGCAAGCCUGAUCCAGCCAUGCCGCGUGAGUGAUGAAGGCCCUAGGGUUGUAAAGCUCUUUCACCGGUGAAGAUAAUGACGGUAACCGGAGAAGAAGCCCCGGCUAACUUCGUGCCAGCAGCCGCGGUAAUACGAAGGGGGCUAGCGUUGUUCGGAAUUACUGGGCGUAAAGCGCACGUAGGCGGACAUUUAAGUCAGGGGUGAAAUCCCAGAGCUCAACUCUGGAACUGCCUUUGAUACUGGGUGUCUUGAGUAUGGAAGAGGUAAGUGGAAUUCCGAGUGUAGAGGUGAAAUUCGUAGAUAUUCGGAGGAACACCAGUGGCGAAGGCGGCUUACUGGUCCAUUACUGACGCUGAGGUGCGAAAGCGUGGGGAGCAAACAGGAUUAGAUACCCCAGUAGUC